UGCACUACAAUAUUGAAAUCUAUGUCGAUGAGAUUACUAGUAUUUGUAACUGUAGAGAAGUCUUACAUCAAUAAAUGAUAUGAAGACUGUUGUGAUUCAAUGUUAGUGGUUUUAGCAGACUAGAUUUUUAACUAAAAAUAUUAUUCAUUCAGGAUAUUUGCAUGUAUGGCCACAUGAGGUACACUUAGUCCGAGAGUCAUUUUCAAAUUAUAUAUAUGAUAAAUAUAUUUUUUUGAAUAAUAAAAUGGAUCUUAGCAAUGUCGCCCA
rnacentral:lncRNA from 1 species